rnacentral:rRNA from 1 species
UACGUAGGGGGCAAGCGUUGUCCGGAUUUAUUGGGCGUAAAGAGCGUGUAGGCGGUUAGGUAGGUCCGUUGUGAAAACUCGAGGCUCAACCUCGAGACGCCGAUGGAAACCCCCUAACUAGAGUCCGGAAGAGGAGAGUGGAAUUCCUGGUGUAGCGGUGAAAUGCGUAGAUAUCAGGAGGAACACCGGUGGCGAAGGCGGAUCUCUGGGCCUUACCUGACGCUCAGGUGCGAAAGCUAGGGGAGCGAACAGG